UACAGAGGUCUCAAGCGUUUGUUCGGAUUCAUUGGGCGUAAAGGGUGCGUAGGUGGCGCCGUAAGUCGGGUGUGAAAUUUCGGAGCUUAACUCCGAAACUGCAUUCGAUACUGCGGUGCUUGAAGACUGGAGAGGAGACUGGAAUUCAUGGUGUAGCAGUGAAAUGCGUAGAGAUCAUGAGGAAGACCAGUGGCGAAGGCGGCUUCCUGGACCGACACUGACGCUGAGGCGCGAAAGCUAGGGGAGCAAACGGG
rnacentral:rRNA from 1 species